AAUGACAAGAGAGUGGCCAGUGGGCAGUGAAGAGUGUCCAACAGAAUACACACACAUUCAUACUUCUUCUAGAUUCACGCGCAGGACCUCCGAUGUCUCCUGAAUCCCCCAGAGGCGAUCUUCCUUUUUGGAAAAAAAGUUGAUUGGAAGAGGAGAGGAGACAGAGAAGAGCAACGGAUUUUGUUUCCUUUUCGAGAGAUUUGUCACCCUCUUUUCAUAUAUUGGCAUCCGAUGGAAAGGGUCCAAUCGGUUG
ensembl:ncRNA C11D2.99 ncRNA